CAGGCUUAACACAUGCAAGUCGAGGGGCAGCAUGGUCUUAGCUUGCUAAGGCCGAUGGCGACCGGCGCACGGGUGAGUAACACGUAUCCAACCUGCCGUCUACUCUUGGACAGCCUUCUGAAAGGAAGAUUAAUACAAGAUGGCAUCAUGAGUCCGCAUGUUCACAUGAUUAAAGGUAUUCCGGUAGACGAUGGGGAUGCGUUCCAUUAGAUAGUAGGCGGGGUAACGGCCCACCUAGUCUUCGAUGGAUAGGGGUUCUGAGAGGAAGGUCCCCCACAUUGGAACUGAGACACGGUCCAAACUCCUACGGGAGGCAGCAGUGAGGAAUAUUGGUCAAUGGGCGAGAGCCUGAACCAGCCAAGUAGCGUGAAGGAUGACUGCCCUAUGGGUUGUAAACUUCUUUUAUAAAGGAAUAAAGUCGGGUAUGCAUACCCGUUUGCAUGUACUUUAUGAAUAAGGAUCGGCUAACUCCGUGCCAGCAGCCGCGGUAAUACGGAGGAUCCGAGCGUUAUCCGGAUUUAUUGGGUUUAAAGGGAGCGUAGAUGGAUGUUUAAGUCAGUUGUGAAAGUUUGCGGCUCAACCGUAAAAUUGCAGUUGAUACUGGAUAUCUUGAGUGCAGUUGAGGCAGGCGGAAUUCGUGGUGUAGCGGUGAAAUGCUUAGAUAUCACGAAGAACUCCGAUUGCGAAGGCAGCCUGCUAAGCUGCAACUGACAUUGAGGCACGAAAGUGUGGGUAUCAAACAGGAUUAGAUACCCUGGUAGUCCACACGGUAAACGAUGAAUACUCGCUGUUUGCGAUAUACGGCAAGCGGCCAAGCGAAAGCGUUAAGUAUUCCACCUGGGGAGUACGCCGGCAACGGUGAAACUCAAAGGAAUUGACGGGGGCCCGCACAAGCGGAGGAACAUGUGGUUUAAUUCGAUGAUACGCGAGGAACCUUACCCGGGCUUAAAUUGCAGAUGAAUUACGGUGAAAGCCGUAAGCCGCAAGGCAUCUGUGAAGGUGCUGCAUGGUUGUCGUCAGCUCGUGCCGUGAGGUGUCGGCUUAAGUGCCAUAACGAGCGCAACCCUUGUUGUCAGUUACUAACAGGUUCCGCUGAGGACUCUGACAAGACUGCCAUCGUAAGAUGUGAGGAAGGUGGGGAUGACGUCAAAUCAGCACGGCCCUUACGUCCGGGGCUACACACGUGUUACAAUGGGGGGUACAGAGGGCCGCUACCACGCGAGUGGAUGCCAAUCCCCAAAACCUCUCUCAGUUCGGACUGGAGUCUGCAACCCGACUCCACGAAGCUGGAUUCGCUAGUAAUCGCGCAUCAGCCACGGCGCGGUGAAUACGUUCCCGGGCCUUGUACACACCGCCCGUCAAGCCAUGGGAGCCGGGGGUACCUGAAGUGCGUAACCGCGAGGAGCGCCCUAGGGUAAAACUGGUGACUGGGG
rnacentral:rRNA from 1 species